GGGCUUUGUUUGCACAGGAUAGGUGGGAGGCGUUGGAAAUUUUCUUGCGGGAAGAUUGGAGCCGUUGGUGAGAUACCACUCUAACAAUGCUAGGAUUCUAACCCUACACCGUUAUCCGGUUAGGGGACAGUUUCAGGUGGUCAGUUUGACUGGGGCGGUCGCCUCCCAAAAGGUAACGGAGGCGUGCAAAGGUUUCCUCAGGCUGGUCGGAAAUCAGUCGUAGAGUGUAAAGGCAUAAGGAAGCUUGAUUGUGAGACCUACAAGUCGAACAAAGACGAAAGUCGGCCUUAGUGAUCCGACGGUUCCGAGUGGAAGGGCCGUCGCUCAACGGAUAAAAGUUACUCUAGGGAUAAC
rnacentral:rRNA from 1 species